UGAAAUGCUUCUAUAUUGAACUGACUU
rnacentral:piRNA from 1 species